AGACCCGAAACCCGGUGAUCUAGCCAUGGGCAGGUUGAAGGUUGGGUAACACUAACUGGAGGACCGAACCGACUAAUGUUGAAAAAUUAGCGGAUGACCUGUGGCUGGGGGUGAAAGGCCAAUCAAACCGGGAGAUAGCUGGUUCUCCCCGAAAGCUAUUUAGGUAGCGCCUCGUGAAUUCAUCUCCGGGGGUAGAGCACUGUUUCGGCUAGGGGGCCAUCCCGGCUUACCAACCCGAUGCAAACUGCGAAUACCGGAGAAUGUUAUCACGGGAGACACACGGCGGGUGCUAACGUCCGUCGUGAAGAGGGAAACAACCCAGACCGCCAGCUAAGGUCCCAAAGUCAUGGUUAAGUGGGAAACGAUGUGGGAAGGCCCAGACAGCCAGGAUGUUGGCUUAGAAGCAGCCAUCAUUUAAAGAAAGCGUAAUAGCUCACUGGUCGAGUCGGCCUGCGCGGAAGAUGUAACGGGGCUAAACCAUGCACCGAAGCUGCGGCAGCGACGCUGAUGCGUUGUUGGGUAGGGGAGCGUUCUGUAAGCCUGCGAAGGUGGCCUGUGAGGGUUGCUGGAGGUAUCAGAAGUGCGAAUGCUGACAUAAGUAACGAUAAAGCGGGUGAAA
rnacentral:rRNA from 1 species